UACGUAGGGGGCCAGCGUUGUCCGGAAUCAUUGGGCGUAAAGCGCGUGUAGGCGGUUCGGUAAGUCCGCUGUGAAAGUCGGGGGCUCAACCCUCGGAAGCCGGUGGAUACUGUCGAGCUAGAGUACGGAAGAGGCGAGUGGAAUUCCUGGUGUAGCGGUGAAAUGCGCAGAUAUCAGGAGGAACACCAAUUGCGAAGGCAGCUCGCUGGGACGUUACUGACGCUGAGACGCGAAAGCGUGGGAGCAAACAGG
rnacentral:rRNA from 1 species